rnacentral:lncRNA from 1 species
UGACUCGCGGUUGUCGAGGCCGGUCAAAAAUAACCUUUCUGGUUAUCAACAAUUUUACAACUGCAGAUAGUGGUGAAAGGAUCGAAUCCACAGAGAAUUGAUUACCUAUUUAUUUUUCUCAACAAGACCAAUAAAAUAAACUGAAACAAUAAUAAAUUAAAGAUGAGAUAAAAGACUGAAAGUGGGAUCAAAUGAGAUAAACUGGAAGCAGAAUAAAAAUAAAUUGCAAUAAAAGUAAAAUGAGGGGGUUUGAGAUUGAUUGUAGUAACUAAUAAUGAGAGUAAUAAUAGAAAGCAAAUAAUUAAAAUAAAAGAGUAAAUCAAUAUGAGAAAAGCCUAGUUGAAGAUAUGGAUCCACUUUGGUUGUUUGGGUUAAUCAUUGAAACUUAAAUUAUCUUGAUUAGUUCAAUAGAUUAGUUAUGGGGGUGGAAAACGCUUCUCACCACCAUGUCUCUCCUUAUGAUUAAAUUAAUUAGGGAACGUUCUCUAAUUAAUUACUAAUUAACAAAUUGCCAAGGAACGUCCUUGGGCCAUAGGCAUCAAAACAAUUGUCAAUUGCAUAAAGAAAUAGAGAGAUCCAAUCCUAGCUACCCAAACGUAUGGAGAUAAUGCUAGAUCAUGCAAUUCCUUGGUUUUUACGCCAAGUGUUCUAAGGUCAGAAUAUUUCCAGCAAUUACGGACUAAAAAUAAUCCCAACUAACAAUCAAUUAACUUUGCAAUUAAAAUCAAGUGGCCAAUUUGAUCAAAACAACAAAGUAAUCAUGUAAUUAAAGCAUCAAUUGCAUAAAUAUUGAACAAAACCAAAGACAAUAAUUUAUGUUCAGAUCUCACAACCAUUUAAACAACCUUAGUUUCAACCAAUCUUCAACUAGAAUUAAAGAAAUCAGCUACUCAUUGGCUGAAUUAAAAACAGAAAAUUAAAAGGAAAAGAAAAGAACCAAAAAUUGAGAGGAAUCUGCCCUGUGCGCUUGGAGCAGCGGAAAUUGCCGAACUGAAGAAAAUUGGAGAGAUGCCCUUCUUCUGGCCGCUUAGAGCUCUUUAAAUAGAGCUGGAGAGUUAUGCUAAUUCGGAAGUUUUGGUCCACGUGGUUCUAAGCGUGUGCUGGAGCUCGUGCGCGCGUGGGCGUUGAAGGCGGGCCCUUGUGAGUGAACUUGAUUCGGCGGUCCACGCGUGAAGGUGCAGGAGCCUGCGGGAAUGGGCCUUGUGAAGUGAUGAACGUUGAGCUUGUGCAUGAGUGUUGGUCCAUUUGCGCGCUCGGCCCAAGGUGAAGGAAUGUGCGGGAGCUGGGGCGUGAGUGUUGAGGUGGAGCCCAUGCGUGAAGGAUUGUGCAUAGGCUGGUCCACUGGAGUGCUGGUGAGCGUGAGUGUUGGCCAUAUGCUGGUCCUUGGAC